rnacentral:lncRNA from 1 species
GAAAAGAUGAGGCUGGAAAUGAAUGAAAUGCAGUUUGCUUUGGCCAAAGUACAAAAGGGGCCUGAAGUACCCGUUUCUCUUACCUUCCAGCUAGGACAUAUACCAGAAUACCCUUCUCCCGGUCCCUCAACAAGUUUCCUAAGCCAUCACUACUAUCACGGAAGGGAUGCUUAUGACCCCCAAGCUCCACCACCCAAUCAAAACCCUCCUCCACCGAAUGUCCCUA